rnacentral:rRNA from 1 species
GUAGGCAGCAAGCGUUGUUCGGAGUUACUGGGCGUAAAGGGUGUGUAGGCGGUGAUUUAAGUUUGGUGUGAAAUCUCCCGGCUUAACCGGGAGGGUGCGCCGAAUACUGAAUGACUUGGAGUGCGGGAGAGGAAAGUGGAAUUCCUGGUGUAGCGGUGAAAUGCGUAGAUAUCAGGAGGAACACCGGUGGUGUAGACGGCUUUCUGGACCGUAACUGACGCUGAGACACGAAAGCGUGGGUAGCAAACAGGAUUAGAUACCCUGGUAGUCCACGCCCUAAACGAUGCAUAUUUGGUGUGGGCAGUUCAUUCUGUCCGUGCCGGAGCUAACGCGUUAAAUAUGCCGCCUGGGGAGUACAGUCGCAAGGCUG